GGGUUGUGAGGUUAAGCGACUAAGUGUACACGGUGGAUGCCCUGGCAGUCAGAGGCGAUGAAGGACGUGCUAAUCUGCGAUAAGCGUCGGUAAGGUGAUAUGAACCGUUAUAACCGGCGAUUUCCGAAUGGGGAAACCCAGUGUGUUUCGACACACUAUCAUUAACUGAAUCCAUAGGUUAAUGAGGCGAACCGGGGGAACUGAAACAUCUAAGUACCCCGAGGAAAAGAAAUCAACCGAGAUUCCCCCAGUAGCGGCGAGCGAACGGGGAGGAGCCCAGAGCCUGAAUCAGUGUGUGUGUUAGUGGAAGCGUCUGGAAAGGCGCGCGAUACAGGGUGACAGCCCCGUACACAAAAAUACACAUAUUGUGAGCUCGAUGAGUAGGGCGGGACACGUGGUAUCCUGUCUGAAUAUGGGGGGACCAUCCUCCAAGGCUAAAUACUCCUGACUGACCGAUAGUGAACCAGUACCGUGAGGGAAAGGCGAAAAGAACCCCGGCGAGGGGAGUGAAAAAGAACCUGAAACCGUGUACGUACAAGCAGUGGGAGCACGCUUAGGCGUGUGACUGCGUACCUUUUGUAUAAUGGGUCAGCGACUUAUAUUCUGUAGCAAGGUUAACCGAAUAGGGGAGCCGAAGGGAAACCGAGUCUUAACUGGGCGUUAAGUUGCAGGGUAUAGACCCGAAACCCGGUGAUCUAGCCAUGGGCAGGUUGAAGGUUGGGUAACACUAACUGGAGGACCGAACCGACUAAUGUUGAAAAAUUAGCGGAUGACUUGUGGCUGGGGGUGAAAGGCCAAUCAAACCGGGAGAUAGCUGGUUCUCCCCGAAAGCUAUUUAGGUAGCGCCUCGUGAAUUCAUCUCCGGGGGUAGAGCACUGUUUCGGCAAGGGGGUCAUCCCGACUUACCAACCCGAUGCAAACUGCGAAUACCGGAGAAUGUUAUCACGGGAGACACACGGCGGGUGCUAACGUCCGUCGUGAAGAGGGAAACAACCCAGACCGCCAGCUAAGGUCCCAAAGUCAUGGUUAAGUGGGAAACGAUGUGGGAAGGCCCAGACAGCCAGGAUGUUGGCUUAGAAGCAGCCAUCAUUUAAAGAAAGCGUAAUAGCUCACUGGUCGAGUCGGCCUGCGCGGAAGAUGUAACGGGGCUAAACCAUGCACCGAAGCUGCGGCAGCGACGCUUAUGCGUUGUUGGGUAGGGGAGCGUUCUGUAAGCCUGCGAAGGUGUGCUGUGAGGCAUGCUGGAGGUAUCAGAAGUGCGAAUGCUGACAUAAGUAACGAUAAAGCGGGUGAAAAGCCCGCUCGCCGGAAGACCAAGGGUUCCUGUCCAACGUUAAUCGGGGCAGGGUGAGUCGACCCCUAAGACGAGGCCGAAAGGCGUAGUCGAUGGGAAACAGGUUAAUAUUCCUGUACUUGGUGUUACUGCGAAGGGGGGACGGAGAAGGCUAUGUUGGCCGGGCGACGGUUGUCCCGGUUUAAGCGUGUAGGCUGGUUUUCCAGGCAAAUCCGGAAAAUCAAGGCUGAGGCGUGAUGACGAGGCACUACGGUGCUGAAGCAACAAAUGCCCUGCUUCCAGGAAAAGCCUCUAAGCAUCAGGUAACAUCAAAUCGUACCCCAAACCGACACAGGUGGUCAGGUAGAGAAUACCAAGGCGCUUGAGAGAACUCGGGUGAAGGAACUAGGCAAAAUGGUGCCGUAACUUCGGGAGAAGGCACGCUGAUAUGUAGGUGAAGUCCCUUGCGGAUGGAGCUGAAAUCAGUCGAAGAUACCAGCUGGCUGCAACUGUUUAUUAAAAACACAGCACUGUGCAAACACGAAAGUGGACGUAUACGGUGUGACGCCUGCCCGGUGCCGGAAGGUUAAUUGAUGGGGUCAGCGCAAGCGAAGCUCUUGAUCGAAGCCCCGGUAAACGGCGGCCGUAACUAUAACGGUCCUAAGGUAGCGAAAUUCCUUGUCGGGUAAGUUCCGACCUGCACGAAUGGCGUAAUGAUGGCCAGGCUGUCUCCACCCGAGACUCAGUGAAAUUGAACUCGCUGUGAAGAUGCAGUGUACCCGCGGCAAGACGGAAAGACCCCGUGAACCUUUACUAUAGCUUGACACUGAACAUUGAGCCUUGAUGUGUAGGAUAGGUGGGAGGCUUUGAAGUGUGGACGCCAGUCUGCAUGGAGCCGGCCUUGAAAUACCACCCUUUAAUGUUUGAUGUUCUAACGUGGACCCGUGAUCCGGGUUGCGGACAGUGUCUGGUGGGUAGUUUGACUGGGGCGGUCUCCUCCUAAAGAGUAACGGAGGAGCACGAAGGUUGGCUAAUCCUGGUCGGACAUCAGGAGGUUAGUGCAAUGGCAUAAGCCAGCUUGACUGCGAGCGUGACGGCGCGAGCAGGUGCGAAAGCAGGUCAUAGUGAUCCGGUGGUUCUGAAUGGAAGGGCCAUCGCUCAACGGAUAAAAGGUACUCCGGGGAUAACAGGCUGAUACCGCCCAAGAGUUCAUAUCGACGGCGGUGUUUGGCACCUCGAUGUCGGCUCAUCACAUCCUGGGGCUGAAGUAGGUCCCAAGGGUAUGGCUGUUCGCCAUUUAAAGUGGUACGCGAGCUGGGUUUAGAACGUCGUGAGACAGUUCGGUCCCUAUCUGCCGUGGGCGCUGGAGAACUGAGGGGGGCUGCUCCUAGUACGAGAGGACCGGAGUGGACGCAUCACUGGUGUUCGGGUUGUCAUGCCAAUGGCACUGCCCGGUAGCUAAAUGCGGAAGAGAUAAGUGCUGAAAGCAUCUAAGCACGAAACUUGCCCCGAGAUGAGUUCUCCCUGACCCUUUAAGGGUCCUGAAGGAACGUUGAAGACGACGACGUUGAUAGGCCGGGUGUGUAAGCGCAGCGAUGCGUUGAGCUAACCGGUACUAAUGAACCGUGAGGCUUAACCUUACAACGCCGAAG
rnacentral:rRNA from 1 species